AAAAGCACAGGGCACUAGGUAUAACCAUUGCACUGGAUGCCAAUAGAGCAUCCCAGCAACUGAGACGGGACACAGAGACUCCUGAGGCCAGGCAGGCACGCCUACAGCAAAUGGUUGCUUCCACCCAAACCAGCAGAGCUUCAGAUACUCCUGAGGCCAGACAGGCACGCCUACAGCAAAUGGCUGCUUCAACUCAAACCAGCAGAGCCUCGGAGACUCCUGAGGCCUGACAGGCACGCUUGGAACAAGACAGGCAUAGGUAUUCACAACACACAGAUGUGAACCACCUGUACUGCUAACACGCUCGCCCCAUGACACCUUGUGUCACCCUAGUAAUUAAUUAGAGGAAUAUA